GGGAGUCUGGCCGAGUGGUUAAGGCUCUGUGUUUAGUCCGCAGUGGGAAACCGCGCAGGGUCGAAUCAUGCGGCUCUCA